UACGUAGGGAGCAAGCGUUGUCCGGAAUCAUUGGGCGUAAAGCGCGCGUAGGCGGCCCCGUAAGUCCGCUGUGAAAGUCAAAGGCUCAACCUUUGAAAGCCGGUGGAUACUGUGGGGCUAGAGUCCGGAAGAGGAGUGUGGAAUUCCUGGUGUAGCGGUGAAAUGCGCAGAUAUCAGGAGGAACACCAAUGGCGAAGGCAGCACUCUGGGACGUGACUGACGCUGAGACGCGAAAGCGUGGGGAGCAAACAGG
rnacentral:rRNA from 1 species